GGCCGCAAAGGCCGACGGCCGCUGGGAUCGCGCCUACAAGAGCGGCAAGGACAUGAAAAUCCCUGCCGAUCUUCAGGCUGCCAUCGACGUCGAGCCCAAAGCCAAGGCGAUGCUGGCAAAACUCAGUGCGCAGAAUCGGUUUUCGCUAGCGUUCCGCGUUCACAACAUGAAAACCGAGGCCGGGCGGAAGAAGAAGAUCGAAACGUUCGUUGCGAUGCUCAAGCGCGGCGAGACAAUUUAUCCGCAAGGCAAGAAAUGAUGGCCGUCAGCUUUUACCCUGCUGU
rnacentral:misc_RNA from 1 species